rnacentral:rRNA from 1 species
UUCGGGAAACCGGAGCUAAUACCGGAUAAUAUUUUGAACCGCAUGGUUCAAAAGUGAAAGACGGUCUUGCUGUCACUUAUAGAUGGAUCCGCGCUGCAUUAGCUAGUUGGUAAGGUAACGGCUUACCAAGGCAACGAUGCAUAGCCGACCUGAGAGGGUGAUCGGCCACACUGGAACUGAGACACGGUCCAGACUCCUACGGGAGGCAGCAGUAGGGAAUCUUCCGCAAUGGGCGAAAGCCUGACGGAGCAACGCCGCGUGAGUGAUGAAGGUCUUCGGAUCGUAAAACUCUGUUAUUAGGGAAGAACAUAUGUGUA